AGGAUGAACGCUAGCGGCAGGCUUAAUACAUGCAAGUCGUGGGGCAGCACAGGUAGCAAUACUGGGUGGCGACCGGCAAACGGGUGCGGAACACGUACGCAACCUUCCUUUAAGCGGGGGAUAGCCCAGGGAAACUUGGAUUAAUACCCCGUACGAUUAUGGUGUGGCAUCACACUAUAAUGAAAGCUCCGGCACUUAAAGAUGGGCGUGCGGCUGAUUAGGUAGUUGGCGGGGUAACGGCCCACCAAGCCAACGAUCAGUAACUGGUGUGAGAGCACGACCAGUCACACGGGCACUGAGACACGGGCCCGACUCCUACGGGAGGCAGCAGUAAGGAAUAUUGGUCAAUGGACGCAAGUCUGAACCAGCCAUGCCGCGUGGAGGAUGAAGGCCCUCUGGGUUGUAAACUUCUUUUAUUGGGGAAGAAACCACUCUUUUCUAAGGGUGUUGACGGUACCCAUUGAAUAAGCACCGGCUAACUCCGUGCCAGCAGCCGCGGU
rnacentral:rRNA from 1 species